UACGUAGGAGGCGAGCGUUGUCCGGAGUUACUGGCGUAAAGGGUGCGCAGGCGGCGUCACGCGUGGAUAGUUGAAAUCUCCUGGCUUACCUGGGAGGGUGGUAUCCAGACGGUGGCGCUUGAGGGUCGGAGAGGGGCGUGGAAUUCCGGGUGGAGCGGUGAAAUGCGUAGAGAUCGGGAGGAACAUCAGUUGCGAAGGCGGCUCUCUGGACCAGCACUGACACUGAGGCACGAAAGCGUGGGGAGCAACAGG
rnacentral:rRNA from 1 species